UUAGAAUCACUGCAGAAUUCCUCCUCUGAUUUUUCUCCCUGAAAUUAGCCUGUAGUGCUAUGCUUCAGACUUCACAGGAGCCUAAAGACAGGAACAGAAUGUGGUGUUUGAACUGAAAUUACAGUCAAGGGUAGAAGAGAAGGGGGGAGAAGAAGAGACAUGUUAUUUGUUAGGAAAAGCAUGCCAUGGACUUUGCGAUACUGUAGGAAAGUUUGCUCCUGCUGAGUCUACCCAGAGUCCCAAAUCCCACACUCACAUUGCCCUGAUUCCCACCACAUCUUCCUCCGUGUUGCCUUCCACAUAGUGACAGAAGAAGCCCAAUCUUUUGGACUAAUCUAAUAGUCUCUUUCCUCUUCAGUCUCUUCCGUCUCUCCCCAUUGCUCCCAGAAAGGGAGGCACUAUUUCUGACCGUUACAAGGCAUCCUAGGGCUUUCUCACAUCACUUCCAACGCAUUCCUUGCCUCCGUUCACCCAGGAAGAAUCUGCUGCGUUUGAUUUCUGUCUCAGGUCACUCAUCUCACAGCUAUGUGCCAGGAAAUAUGCUGCUCUUCUGGUAGACUAAACAAAAGGAAAUCCACCUGGGACCGAGAGGAGACACUAGCCCUCCCUUUCAACAACUUCACUUCUAAACCACCCUUCCAUCCCCUGCCUUCAUCUCCCUCCCUGUAGCACAGACUCCGCUCUAAAGCAAAGCGAACACAAACAAAGGACACCUGUUCCCAGCCCUGCUAAAGAGAGAAAAGCUGCUACUGCCUAAAGGCUAAAGCUGAGCUGAACGCAUUAUGGCUAGAGGAGUCGGCCAGGCUGCAGAUAGACCUGCGCAAGGGAAAUAUGAGCCUCUUGCACAACGCCAGCAAAUAACAACUGAAAAAGUAACUUACGUCACAGGAGAAUGGCAGGGGGAAAUCAAGGUACAAUUAUCACCGCUCGCUUGUGCCUAUAUAUCAUCUUGUUGGGAUGUACUCAAGCAUUCCUUCAAUACAAAUUAUUAAAGAAAAAAAAAAGUAAAAAAAAACCUGGGAACUUGCUGUCAACACUUACAGCAGGCGACCACGCUCUUCCCUCACUUGUUACAUAGCUCGCACAAAUUCUUCUGUUUCUGCAGACGUCACGGUCAUCACCAGUGUGAGCAGAAGGAUGCUUCUUGUAGCAUGCCCUGGAGAUCAACAGACCCAGGCUAUUUCAUACCAGUGAGUCCUUUCCAGAGCUGAAAGCUCCUCACAGAGACUGCUCUACAACCGUCGUCAUCUUUUUCAGCUUGAGUGGUUUUUCUUCUCGCAGCCGUGGCAGUAUGGCAGAAAGGAGAUGGGAUAGCUCUCUCGCAUGUCCAGCGCUUCCUUUCUCACUGCUAGUGAUUCAGAGGAUUAAAGCAGCAGGAUAUAGAGCAACAGAUGGGGAUUUCAUUCAUUCCCUGUGCUUUGAAAAUAGACUCUACGAAAUAUAUCCAUUGUUGUUAUUGUGACCGCCAGCACGGUGAAUGCAGAUUCCAGUUUGAGACAGGAGGGGGAUGUCUCUGUGUCCAGGGCAGUGGGCACCGCAGUGGAGAGAAGCACUCCAGUGGUAUUUUAUCCACAUUACUCAAGAAAAAAACAGUUUGUAGCAAAGCUCAGUGCAUCGAAGACGUACAAGAUACCCCCGUUUUUCUCCAUCUCUUCCCCUUGUCCUGGGGAGCAAGCGCAGAGGAGCAGAAGCUAGAGGGUUGGCAGUGGGAGAGGUGAACCUCAAGCUCAACUCCUGUGGUGAGGUGCUGGCCGCUCAGGCAUGUCCCUGGUACUGGGAAAAAACCCAACAAGCAAAUGGAAAAGAGAAGGAAGAAGUUGCCUGUGGGAGAAGGAAGGCCAUGGCAGUUGGUGGCCUGACUCCCGUGUUGCCUGAAGGGGGAACUGGCCAGUUCUGAGUCUGCUCAUACAAUUUCUGGGACACAGUUUUAUGGCAGAAGAGGGAACUGUAGCCUUUCCAUACCUGAUCAGUGGGGCAGCCUUGUGUGGGUGAUCUGUGGAGAGGGAGGAGAGGAUUUCCCUAAAUUCCCUCUCUCCCCAGGUUGCCCGUUGGCGGGCUCCGAGGGCAGACCCAGGGCUUUGGUCUUGGGGACGGGGAUGAAGGAAAGAGCCUCCAGAAAUGGCCUCAUUCUUCUUUUAACAGAUACCAAAGGGAAAAAUUAGUCUCGGGGAAGAGGCUUUUGCUCCUGGGGUUCAUAACCCGUGAGUGUUGUGGAGAUUCCAGAAUCCAGAUGUGAUAGAUGACAUUAACUUUUCCAGAGUCUUCACUUUUAAUCUCCACACGUGAAGAAUUGGGUCAAUUUUGCAUGGCCAGAAACAGCAGUUCCCCUUGCACUGUAGCUCUACGUACUGGAGAUAACACUUUCUAUAAAUCAAGACAGGCUGUAAAAAGUGACAAAAACUGUGAAGUUCAGCUUGCCAGGAAACUGUUAUCGUGUAUGUGUAUUUUUUUUUAGAAAAAAACCAUUUAAUAUCCACACACCGUUUUGUCAAUCUUUCAAAACCCCUGACAGGGAUGUGAACGUUGCUCAAGAGCUAUUACAUGUCGUGAUUAUAAUUUGUUCUUUUUGAAGAGGGUGAUGUCUAAGUCGUUUUUGAUGAUUACAUUUCCUUGGUCUAUAUUUAUUCGAAAGGCACUUUUCAAACCUGAGAAUUGUUUCCAAACAGUAUGCAUAAAUGAUUAGUACUGCUUUCAGUCGUGCAGUUUGAUCCCUAUUCCCUUUAGAUGUUAGUGUAGAUGUGAAGACAACGUCCUACCUGGUGCAGAAAGAAUAGAUCUUAACUGCUGCAGCAGCUGAAAGAGUUGGAAUGUUUUCAGGACAAAACCAGCCACUUCCUAUAGAAUCAGUCAGAGCCUUGGUUUUAAAAUCCACCAUAUACUUUGCAUGUGCUAAGGACGUGGUGUUUACUAGCAGAAUGCUGUGUAAGAGACUAGUAAAUACCAUGGCUUCAAAGACACAGAUUUCCUGUUUCGAGCCUCAUUCUAUCGCCUACAAGCAACUUAGUCUUACUUUGUGGCUGCCAUGCCACAAACCCUAAAUUAUCUUCUAAUUUUUCAAAUUCAAAAGAAACUCUGUCUAUUUAAUUGUUUAAUGCCUCUCUAAAGAGUCAGGGUGUUUUACACAAGGCUCGCCAGAAUGCAUACUUAUCCCAGACAUUUGCCUUUGAAAAGAAGGUUCUUCAUCGCGCCAGUAAGGAAAAUAUUUAGUGAGUGCUGCAAUCUUUUUUCCAGCUAAGUGACAAGGAACAUUUGAGUUUGGAUAAAACAGGUGUAUAUAUUUUCUUUCUUGUCAUUUUUUUGUUUAAUACUCCAUUAUUAGUGUCCUUCACCAUUUGAAAAACCAGGAAGGAACAACUUUUCUUGAGAAAAGAAUAGGUAACCACAUAGUGAAAUGUCAAAACCAAAGAAUCAUUGUGUUUUGAUAGCACAUGAUAUGUAGUGAAGUCUCUAUAGCUCUCCAUACUUUCUGAUACAUUUUAGACUUGUAUUUAUCUGGAAAAAAAAAUAAGGAACAGUUGCUGCAAAAAUUAGCACAUGUUCAAGAAGAGAUAUAUGAGUGGAGGGACUGAUUUUUAAGGGUGCAGCCAUAAGAUGCAUAUGAAAUGAGCACAAACUAAUUUGACCUUUGUCAGAACUAGCAGCAGUGUGGUCUGGUAACUUUUAUAUUCUUUACUGGUUUUUGACCAGAGUCUUCUCCUCUGCAGAUCCUGUUCUUGGAGCCAUUCUUUCUUCUCCCGCAUCUGAUCUGACACCUGUUUCCAAAGUUAAUGUGCUUUCUGUCCUUUGGUUCUUGAAUGACCUCUCUUUUCUUUUUACUUCUUCUGUUAUUUAAGGCUGCAACGUGUAUUAAAACUCACAAAACAGGCUUAAUGCAAACCAGCCCCCAAACUGUCUCUGUGUAAUGUGGGCAUGUGUCACCAGGAGCAACAGGACAGUUUCUUCAGUUACUGCCAGGACAUUCAUGUAAGAGGCAAACCUCAUUUAAACAGACGUUCUUCUGAAAUACAGAAAAGGAGCUGGAUUGUGUCCCCCCCCUCAUUCGGUGACAAUGCGUCCUGAGGUUCACCUGAUGCCUCGGUCCUUUUGCAUGCCAACUAGUGGCUGCAAAGCUGGAGGGAGGAAGCACAUCCUGCAAUUUGACCAUCAGGGAGAAAAUAACAAAUGCCUCAAACCAGAGAAGUAGUGAGGGGCAAUGCGGCACCGUUAUGCACAGAGGUGGGGGGUGGCACAGCUGGAAUCGUGCGUACAGUAUCAGGUGGCACUAAAGUGUUUAUCUGGGGUUGCUGUGAGGGUGGAGAGAAGCAUUGACAUGACCUCUUUAGUCCCCCGGUACAUCCAUUCCUAGCCCUUCAGCCUUUCCUUUAAAGAAACUGAAAAUGUCCUUCAGAGGACCGCUGUACGUCUAUUUAAAGUUAUUGGUAAAUCCUUUGCUGAAUUUGGGCUUGCGUCAGAAGUGGGCUGAAAGAAGCAAUGAGCCAUAGCUGUGAGACAGACCAGAUAGAGUCUGUAUAACGUGUACCCCCUUAAAAAUAGUUACUGCCUUCUUCUAAAAACAGUAACAGAAUAUGAGAUGUAAUCUUGGUGUUCUUAGAUUGUCAGUUUGGCUCUAACUAAGCUACCAUUUAAGGCCAGUUUGUACAUGGGGUAGGAGUGGUAAAAAAAUAAUCGAUGCUAGCUGCUUUCAUCUAUCACUUUCCAGUGAAUGAUUUCCUAUUUAAUUCCUGCUAAUGUUUGUCAGCAAUUUUCUCAUGGAUUUUUUUCGUAUUUCUUUUUGUGUGUUGUUUCUGUGUUUUUUUUUUUUUUUGAAUCUUGCUUUGUUCAGGCAAAUUCGCUUGCUAAAGAAACUGUUUAAUUUCAUGGGCCACGCUGGAAGAAUGCCUGUGACUGCCCAGGUGAGGACUCGCUCCGAGUCAGAAAUGCUUUUAUAGUCAGCCAAAAAGGAACAAAUGCACACCCCCAGAACUGUGAAUUUCAACACCUCUUCUGGCGGCGCAUGCAAGGCAGCAUCAUUUUUGAAAGCAUAAUAGUAUUUCUAAAAUCCAAUUAAAGAUCUUACUUUCAAGAUAUCUUAUUUUCUGUUCCAAAUAAUCUGCAGUCUACAGUAUAACUUUGUCAUCCAGAAGAAAGCCUGAAAUUAAGAGAAACAUUAUAUGAUCCUAGCAUCUAUUAUGCAUCUUUUUAUUUGUUGAAAGCUUGCUGUAGAAUCUGCUUGUUUCCAAGGAAUGAAAAUUGCUUAUUAUCCUGGAUAAUGAAAGAGAAUGUCGUCAUCUAUAAUUGUUAGUUUAGGAUACUUACUGUACCCUUCUAUUAUGAACGGGUUUGCAUAAAAAAAGGUUCAGUAAAGGAAGCAGCUUUUAAAGAUAUUCUUAAAAAAAAGAGGCAUUUGUUUGCAAGUGAAAUUUAUGCAUUUUUGACUGCAAAAUGUACUGGAACAAGUUUCUUAAUUGACAGAUUGUAACUUGAAUAUGAAUGCUAUUUACUGAAUGCAAUCUGCAAAUAUUACAGUCUU